rnacentral:lncRNA from 1 species
CUUUUCUCACCAGACACAAGUUGGUUCCUUUUUCCUUUUUCCUUUUUCGAUAUUCAAAUUUUGAAAAUAUUACAAGUCCAAACUGAAUUUUUUUUUUCCUUCAAAAUUUUUUUUCCUCAAAAUUUUUUUUUCCCAAAAAUUUUUUUUCCUCAAAUUUUUUUUUUUCCUCAAAAUUUUUUUUUCCUCAAAAUUUUUUUUCCUCAAUUUUUUUUUUCCUCAAUUUUUAUUUCCUCAAAAUUUUUUUUCCUCAAAUUUUUUUUUUUCCUCAAAAUAUUUUUCCUCAAAAAGUUUUUCUUCAAAUUUUUUUGUCAUUUCCUUAUUCGUUUUCUUUUCCUUUUUCGAUUAUCAUCCUUAUUUGAUUUCCAUUUCCUUAUUCGAUUUUCAUUUCCUUAUUCGAUUUUCUUUUCCUUAUUCGGUUUCUUCUUCCUUUUUCAAUAUUCAUUUCCUUUUUCGGUUCCUAUUUCCUUAUUCGGUUUCUAUUUCCUUAUUGGAUUUUAAUUUCCUUAUUCGAUUUCCAUUUCCUUAUUCAAUUUUCAUUUCCUU